rnacentral:rRNA from 1 species
CUCGUAGGCGGUUCGUCGCGUCCGGUGUGAAAGUCCAUCGCUUAACGGUGGAUCCGCGCCGGGUACGGGCGGGCUUGAGUGCGGUAGGGGAGACUGGAAUUCCCGGUGUAACGGUGGAAUGUGUAGAUAUCGGGAAGAACACCAAUGGCGAAGGCAGGGUCUCUGGGCCGUCACUGACGCUGAGGAGCGAAAGCGUGGGGAGCGAACA